UCUAAUUAGUGACGCGCAUGAAUUGAUUAACGAGAUUCCCAAUCUGUCCCUAUCUACUUUCUAGCGAAACCACUGCCAAGGGAACGGGCUUGGAAAAAUUAGCGGGGAAAGAAGACCCUGUUGAGCUUGACUCUAGUCUGGCACUCUAAGGAGACAUGAGAGGUGUAGCGUAAGUGGGAGAUGUCAUGUCGCCGGUGAAAUACCACUACUUUCAUAGUUUCUUUACUUACUCGGUAAGGCGGAACGCGUGCACCGUGGUUUCGACCCGGUUGUCACGGUAUUCUUGAACCAAGCGUAUAAGAGUGGUGUUGAAAGCUCGUGGGCCGAUCACCAAUAAUAACUCCUGCGUGAUCCGAUUGGAGGACACUGCCAGGCGGGGAGUUUGACUGGGGCGGUACAUCUGUCAAAGAAUAACGCAGGUGUCCUAAGGCCAGCUCAGCGAGGACAGAAACCUCGCGUAGAGCAAAAGGGCAAAAGCUGGCUUGAUCUCGAUGCUCAGUACGCAUAGAGACAGCGAAAGCACGGCCUAUCGAUCCUUUUGGCUUGAAGAGUUUUCAGCAAGAGGUGUCAGAAAAGUUACCACAGGGAUAACUGGUUU